ACUGUCACGCCAUCAGAACCGCCUAGUAAUCUAAUAGAGUAUGUAAACGGGUUCCGGCAUCGUUUGUACUCCGCUGGGGAGAUGGCUAAAGAGAAGUUGUCGUCUGCCCAGGAAAAAAUGAAGCGUUUGUAUGAUCGGAAAACCGAGCAGCGCGGGUUUACGUUUCCUUGGCCUAGUCGGGUACUAUCGCAGCUUCUGUAAAAACUUUUCGACUGUGGUAGCCCCUCUGACGGAUUUGCUGAAAGGAAAAGCUCGAUUUGUAUGGUCAGCCUUGUGUAAGCAGGCUUUUGACAAUGUUAAGUCUGUUUUGUGUUCACCUCCUGUUCUCGCAGCUCCUUGCAUGGAUCAACCUUUCAAACUGCAGGUGGAUGCAAGUGAUGUGGGGGCAGGGGCGGUGCUGUUCCAGACGGAUGGUAGUGGUGUGGAUCGUCCCGCGCCGGAGUUGCUGAGUGGGCGGGAUGGGGGUUGGUUGGCUGCUGGGAAAUACACUACAG